CACUCUUGCGGCUCCUACACAUUCUCACUGACCUGCUGGCUCCCCUUGUGGGCAGGGAGCCGCAGCCACCCCGCAGCUCCUCCAGCUCCUGUUGGAAACCUUCCACCUUCUGCAGCUCCAGAGCCAGGACAGCACCAGCUUCUCCUGCAAGUCACUCACGUCCUCGUGUUUGGAGACAGUUAGAGACUGACAUGGGUUCCAGCUGGUCUUUCUCUUACCACGGUAUGUCUAACCUUCCUUCCCAACUGCUGGCCCUGAUUACCUCAGGCUCAACACCAGAUACAGAGGUAACUUGCCCUGAUGUCACACAAGCAGGGACUCACCCGGUGGGGCUUUCCCCUCUUGCACCUCUAUCUAUCACCGUGAGAAGAGCAUGCUCUGAGCAGCUCCUGGUCCCAGGAGGAAGAUGAGACUCAUGUGGAGCACGGUCACCCCAGCCACUGCAGGCUGAAGCAAAACUGGGCCCCAGACAAGCCGAGGCCCCCAGUGCAAGGAGAACUGUCCAGCCCAGCCCAGCCUGCGUCAGCCAAACACCGGCUGACACACAAUGCAUGAACAAUAAUAAACACUUGUUUUGUUAAAGC